rnacentral:rRNA from 1 species
UACGUAGGGGGCAAGCGUUGUCCGGAAUUAUUGGGCGUAAAGCGCGUGUAGGCGGCUCGGUAAGUCUGCUGUGAAAGUUCAGGGCUCAACCCUGAAAUGCCGGUGGAUACUGUCGAGCUCGAGUCCGGAAGAGGCGAGUGGAAUUCCUGGUGUAGCGGUGAAAUGCGCAGAUAUCAGGAGGAACACCAAUGGCGAAGGCAGCUCGCUGGGACGGUACUGACGCUGAGACGCGAAAGCGUGGGGAGCAAACAGG